rnacentral:rRNA from 1 species
AUGAACGCUAGCUACAGGCUUAACACAUGCAAGUCGAGGGGCAUCAGGAAGAAAGCUUGCUUUCUUUGCUGGCGACCGGCGCACGGGUGAGUAACACGUAUCCAACCUGCCCUUUACUCGGGGAUAGCCUUUCGAAAGAAAGAUUAAUACCCGAUGGCAUAAUGAUUCCGCAUGGUUUCAUUAUUAAAGGAUUCCGGUAAAGGAUGGGGAUGCGUUCCAUUAGGUUGUUGGUGAGGUAACGGCUCACCAAGCCUUCGAUGGAUAGGGGUUCUGAGAGGAAGGUCCCCCACAUUGGAACUGAGACACGGUCCAAACUCCUACGGGAGGCAGCAGUGAGGAAUAUUGGUCAAUGGGCGCUAGCCUGAACCAGCCAAGUAGCGUGAAGGAUGAAGGCUCUAUGGGUCGUAAACUUCUUUUAUAUGAGAAUAAAGUGCAGUAUGUAUACUGUUUUGUAUGUAUUAUAUGAAUAAGGAUCGGCUAACUCCGUGCCAGCAGCCGCGGUAAUACGGAGGAUCCGAGCGUUAUCCGGAUUUAUUGGGUUUAAAGGGAGCGUAGGUGGACUGGUAAGUCAGUUGUGAAAGUUUGCGGCUCAACCGUAAAAUUGCAGUUGAUACUGUCAGUCUUGAGUACAGUAGAGGUGGGCGGAAUUCGUGGUGUAGCGGUGAAAUGCUUAGAUAUCACGAAGAACUCCGAUUGCGAAGGCAGCUCACUGGACUGCAACUGACACUGAUGCUCGAAAGUGUGGGUAUCAAACAGGAUUAGAUACCCUGGUAGUCCACACAGUAAACGAUGAAUACUCGCUGUUUGCGAUAUACAGUAAGCGGCCAAGCGAAAGCAUUAAGUAUUCCACCUGGGGAGUACGCCGGCAACGGUGAAACUCAAAGGAAUUGACGGGGGCCCGCACAAGCGGAGGAACAUGUGGUUUAAUUCGAUGAUACGCGAGGAACCUUACCCGGGCUUAAAUUGCAGUGGAAUGAUGUGGAAACAUGUCAGUGAGCAAUCACCGCUGUGAAGGUGCUGCAUGGUUGUCGUCAGCUCGUGCCGUGAGGUGUCGGCUUAAGUGCCAUAACGAGCGCAACCCUUAUCUUUAGUUACUAACAGGUCAUGCUGAGGACUCUAGAGAGACUGCCGUCGUAAGAUGUGAGGAAGGUGGGGAUGACGUCAAAUCAGCACGGCCCUUACGUCCGGGGCUACACACGUGUUACAAUGGGGGGUACAGAAGGCAGCUAGCGGGUGACCGUAUGCUAAUCCCAAAAUCCUCUCUCAGUUCGGAUCGAAGUCUGCAACCCGACUUCGUGAAGCUGGAUUCGCUAGUAAUCGCGCAUCAGCCACGGCGCGGUGAAUACGUUCCCGGGCCUUGUACACACCGCCCGUCAAGCCAUGGGAGCCGGGGGUACCUGAAGUACGUAACCGCAAGGAUCGUCCUAGGGUAAAACUGGUGACUGGGGCU